rnacentral:rRNA from 1 species
UGAGUUUGAUCCUGGCUCAGGAUGAACGCUAGCGGGAGGCCUAACACAUGCAAGUCGAGGGGUAACGGAAGUAGCUUGCUGCUAGACGACGACCGGCGCACGGGUGAGUAACGCGUAUGUAAUCUGCCUUGUACAGAGGGAUAGCCCAGAGAAAUUUGGAUUAAUACCUCAUAGUAUUACUGAAUCGCAUGAUUUGGUAAUUAAAGCUCCGGCGGUACAAGAUGAACAUGCGUGACAUUAGCUAGUUGGUAAGGUAACGGCUUACCAAGGCUACGAUGUCUAGGGGUUCUGAGAGGAUGAUCCCCCACACUGGUACUGAGACACGGAUCAGACUCCUACGGGAGGCAGCAGUGAGGAAUAUUGGUCAAUGGACGCAAGUCUGAACCAGCCAUCCCGCGUGAAGGAUGACUGCCCUAUGGGUUGUAAACUUCUUUUAUAUGCAAAUAAACCUACUUUCGUGAAGGUAGCUGAAGGUAGCAUAUGAAUAAACACCGGCU